AACUGAGGUGCCCUGAUCCCAGUGUCAACUAAGGUCUGUCCCUGUACACCUGAAGAAGGCAGACACUAGUGUCUGUGCCCGGACUUUGCACACUUUGUUAACUCUAUUUGCUGCUGUGCAAAGAAGCCUGAGAGGUGCCAAGUCUGCAACGGUGUCUGGAACACACAGAAUUAUCUCAAGGUUUGGCAAAUACUGACCUCAAGGACAUGAAGGGUGCACUUGCCUGACACAGCCUGGCUUGCUGGCCUGCCCCAGGCUACAUCCACAGCUACACAUAAAGUUUUCUUCUGCAGUAACUGUGAGGCAUGCAGGUAAAUUCUUCCCCUCCUCCUGCCAACCAGACCACACCAAUAAUCUCACUGGUGAAGAAAGGCAAUGCCACAAGGAAACUUUUUGGCUCUGAGAAAUUAUUUCCUUCUAGGAGGCUGCUGAAGCCCUCCUUUAGCAGCAUGAGAUGUGCCUCUCACUGGGAGGAAAGCUUGCUGUCAUCAUGCUACUGCUACAGCAUUCCUACAAACCCUUCUGCAUGUCAUUUCAGACCAGCAGGAUACAUCCAUCAGCACCUACAAGACCCUGACAGGGAACAGCCACCACACCCCCUCUCUGCAGUUGCCUUCUCAGAACUGGGCAGGCAGCCCCUCUUCUGUUUGAUGACAUUGGACUGCAGAAUAGAUCACACUCUUCCACCCCAGGAGCACAAAAGGAGGUCACCUUUCUUGGUAUUGUUUUUACUUGGCUGGACACCAGAGCAUUUCUGCAACCCCAGUUUGGGGCUCUUGGGUAUUCACAGUUAAGGACACAAAUGCAGUAUGUGUGGUUUCUUCUUAAAGGCAAUCUCAUUUCCUCAUUUUUCUCUCUUUGCCAGAAAUUUCCUAGAGGUCAAGUAGGAGGAAGGUGGUACAAUAUCACUAGCUUAAAUUCUUCUCUAUUGAGAAACCAGAAUUUGCAUUUUUAGGCACUGCUGGCACAUAUGUUUUGGCCCUCAAACAGAGGAGCUGCUCUUUGCAUCAAGUCCAAUCCCAGAUUUCUACGCAGGAGGAUUUUAUGCUAGGAAGGAAAAACUGCAGCAACGACCAAGAAAGUUCACCUCAGCUGCAGAAGAAAGAGUGGGAAGGUUGGGAGGGGAUAUAUGAGCAGUUAAGAGAAGGGUAGUGCAGUGCAUGUUUGAUAGCAAGUGCUAUGCUCCAGAUUUCUACUGUGAACCACCAACGAGAAGCAUCUUUCUUGGUCACCAGUCUUGGGAGCAAGAGUUUGGCUAUUUGGGGUUGUUAAGGAGGGCUACAUUCAUAUCUCCAGGAUCCUCCUUGGCACCCAGCUGGAAAGGCUUGGUCAGGCUUAAGCCAGGUCUGAUAGCUGGAAGUGUCUGAAAAUUAAAAUAUUUUCUUCCUGCAUCCUACACUCCCAGGGGCAUUGACCACAUCUUGAGAUCAGAUAGCCAUCUUCACCCAAACUCAGGCCAUGAAGUGAGCCUGAUGAAGCUCUCAAGCACUUUUUUUCCCCUCUUCAUGUGAUGGCUAAUGGUUUUCCACUGCAGUGUUAGAAGUUGAAGCUAAAAGCACUAGAAGCUCCCAAGUAGUAAUUUUGAGUACAUCACACAGUUCCUACUGGAUUAAGAAUGCAGGAUGCAAUUCUAGCUACCAGGGAUGUGACAGAUGAUGUCUCAUUCCUUCCCUUCUGUCUUUCUAUACAAUACUCUUGGGUGAAUAUAACAAGUUCUAUGCCUAAGCUGCAGCGAGGCACAGGACUGUGGAAAAAGCUUUCAGUGGUGAAGACCACUAAGCAGCACGACAGGUUGCUUAAGAUAAAUGUGAAAGCUCAGUGGCUCUUGGGGCAGAAGAUAAACCCUUCCAAACUAAUUUCAGUGCCACUUUGAGCUGCUGCCUUGAAGUUCAGCAACCUUACUCAUUUUAAAGGGCUGGUUACUGUAGUGAAGACAGACGUAAGUCAUGUCACAGCAAAAGCCACCAGCCUAACAGCAAUACAUAUCAGUGCCAUCACCCUGCUCCCAGGGCAGGUCUCCAAUAACACUGGUCAGCGAUUCAGAGUCCAGCUGGCUGCUGGUUACUAGUGGCACUCAAUACUGGAGCUUCUUAUGCUUUAGUAUCUUUGCUGCUGACCUCGAUGAUAGGAUGGAGCAUAUGGGCAGCAAAUCUGCAGAUGACACCAGAUUGGGAGAAGUGGUUCAUACACUGAAGCUGCUAUUCAGAGGGACAUAGGCAGGUCAGAGAAAUAGGCUGAGAGGAACCUCAAGAAGUUCAAUGGCAAAAUGCACAGCCCUGCCACUGGGAUGGAGUAACUCCCUGCAGCAGAACAGGCUAGAGACAACAGGCAAGAAGGCAGCUUUGCAGGAAAGGGCCUGGAAGUGUGGGUGGACAAGCAACCUACCAGUCAGCAGUGCACCCAUACAGCAAAGGCCAGCUGCUAGCAGAGGCACAGCCAGCAGGGCAAGGGGAGGGAUCCUGCAUCUCCUCUGCUCAGAGCUCCUGAGAUCCUCUGGAGAGCUGGGUCCAGUCUGGGUUCCCCAGCACAAGGACAGUAACAUACCAGAGCAAGUUGAGUGGAGGUGAUCAAGAUGGUUUGGACUAGUGCACACAAUGUAUAAGGAGAAGCUAUGAGAGCCGGCUUUGUUCAGUCUGGAGAGAAGUCAAAAGGAGAUCUUCCUGUUAUCUGCUACUCUCUGAUGGAAAGCCACAAAGAGACACACAGGAAAAGCUGGAAGGCAACAGGCACAGGCAUAACAUGAGAAAUUCUGAUGAGAGCUGCAAGGAAAACCUUCACCAUCAGCAUGGUCACACACUGGAAUAGGAAAUGCCACCAUUUCUCUGGUCUCAUCUCUGGAGACAGACAACAUGCUCUAACUUUGAAUUUAGCCCUUCCUUCAGCAGGGGGUGGACAAAGCAGCCUCCAGAUGUCCCUUCCAGCUAAACUACCCCAGAUGUCUACGAAGCACUACUUUCUCACGAGACCUCACACUUUGUGGGAAAGUGCAUUGAGCACAUGUCCCUUUCAGUUUUCCGAUCUGUGAAAUGGAGCUGACAAGAUUUCCUUAUUUAAGCCUUUGUUAUCUAGCAGGUGUCCCAAAUAACCCACUUUUUUCAGUGUGGAAUAGAUGACUCAGCUCUUCAGAGCACGAGGCUGUCUGUAGAACGUUCCCCCAGCACAUGCAAGCAGAAUAAAGUAGCACUUCUUGGGCUAUACUUAGUAUUUUGUUUCAGAACACACUUGUGAUGCUGUUGGAGGCUGCGUGCUUUCUUCAGAUCUGAAAUCCUCAGAGCUGCCCCAAAGUUUCUAGCAAACAAACUUAAUGGUUUCAUUUUACACCAGAAGCAUAACAAUUAUCUGGGAAAUCCCCCUCCCACACCCCAGAGUCCAUACUUUGGGUGACUUGAUGAUCUCACCACACAGAGUUACUCAGGUUCAAUGUUGCUUUUAAAAACUGUCAUCUAAAAGCCACUGGGGUCAACUUUUAAGCUAAGGCUCACUCUGAACAUCUGCAUAUGCUUAAAUACAGAAAAAAUGGCAGUUGAAAGGGACCAAAAUCUCCUUCUCGUCUCCCCCAGUCCCCCUAACCACAUGCUGCUAUACCUUAAGAGACAUGAUCUGCCAAGUACAAUUGUUCUCAUCCUGCCAGGCCCUGCUGCAGUUCUCUGCUGUUGCCUUGCCCAACUUCUUCAUAACCCUAAAAUGGAUUUCUCAUGAUGAGAGCCACUGAUACCUGCACUGGCACUGCCUCUUGCUAUGCCUGACUCCACAGCACAUCCCACAAGGUGAUGCAUGAAAGCCAGGAACACAGUGACAGCGGCACAGCCCCUUGCUACAACUCUGGUCCAGAAUGAACAGCCACGGGAGUCAAGAAAUGAAGUUAU